AUUGAACGCUGGCGGCAUGCCUUACACAUGCAAGUCGAACGGUAACAGGUCUUCGGAUGCUGACGAGUGGCGAACGGGUGAGUAAUACAUCGGAACGUGCCCGAUCGUGGGGGAUAACGGAGCGAAAGCUUUGCUAAUACCGCAUACGAUCUACGGAGGAAAGCAGGGGACCGCAAGGCCUUGCGCGGACGGAGCGGCCGAUGGCAGAUUAGGUAGUUGGUGGGAUAAAAGCUUACCAAGCCGACGAUCUGUAGCUGGUCUGAGAGGACGACCAGCACACUGGGACUGAGACACGGCCCAGACUCCUACGGGAGGCAGCAGUGGGGAAUUUUGGACAAUGGGCGCAAGCCUGAUCCAGCCAUGCCGCGUGCAGGAUGAAGGCCUUCGGGUUGUAAACUGCUUUUGUACGGAACGAAAAGACUCUUUCUAAUAAAGAGGGUCCAUGACGGUACCGUAAGAAUAAGCACCGGCUAACUACGUGCCAGCAGCCGCAGUAACAC
rnacentral:rRNA from 1 species